GCCUCGCUGGUGUAGUGGUAGAGCACGCGUCCGCGGAGAGGAUGAAACGCGGGUCCGAUUCACGGCUGAGGCG